CCUACGGGCGGCUGCAGUGGGGAAUAUUGCACAAUGGGCGCAAGCCUGAUGCAGCCAUGCCGCGUGUGUGAAGAAGGCCUUCGGGUUGUAAAGCACUUUCAGCGGGGAGGAAGGCGGUGAGGUUAAUAACCUCAUCGAUUGACGUUACCCGCAGAAGAAGCACCGGCUAACUCCGUGCCAGCAGCCGCGGUAAUACGGAGGGUGCAAGCGUUAAUCGGAAUUACUGGGCGUAAAGCGCACGCAGGCGGUCUGUCAAGUCGGAUGUGAAAUCCCCGGGCUCAACCUGGGAACUGCAUUCGAAACUGGCAGGCUAGAGUCUUGUAGAGGGGGGUAGAAUGCCAGGUGUAGCGGUGAAAUGCGUAGAGAUCUGGAGGAAUACCGGUGGCGAAGGCGGCCCCCUGGACAAAGACUGACGCUCAGGUGCGAAAGCGUGGGGAGCAAACAGGAUUAGAUACCCUUGUAGUC
rnacentral:rRNA from 1 species